GCGCGGCGAAAAACCUUACACACAGUGUUUUUUGUUAUUACAAGAACUUUUGCUUUGGUCUGGACUAGAAAUAGUUUGGGCCAGAGGUUUACUGAACUAAACUUCAAUAUUUAUAUUGAAUUGUUAUUUAUUUAUUUGUCAAUUUGUUGAUUAAAUUCAAAAAAUCUUCAAAACUUUCAACAACGGAUCUCUUGGUUCUCGCAUCGAUGAAGAACGCAGCGAAAUGCGAUAAGUAAUAUGAAUUGCAGAUUUUCGUGAAUCAUCGAAUCUUUGAACGCACAUUGCGCCCUCUGGUAUUCCAGAGGGCAUGCCUGUUUGAGCGUCAUUUCUCUCUCAAACCUUCGGGUUUGGUAUUGAGUGAUACUCUUAGUCGAACUAGGCGUUUGCUUGAAAUGUAUUGGCAUGAGUGGUACUGGAUAGUGCUAUAUGACUUUCAAUGUAUUAGGUUUAUCCAACUCGUUGAAUAGUUUAAUGGUAUAUUUCUCGGUAUUCUAGGCUCGGCCUUACAAUAUAACAAACAAGUUUGACCUCAAAUCAGGUAGGAUUACCCGCUGAACUUAAGCAUAUCA
rnacentral:rRNA from 1 species